rnacentral:rRNA from 1 species
AAAUGAAUUGACGGGACCCGCACAAGCAGCGGAGCGUGUGGUUUAAUUCGUUGCUACGCGAAGAACCUUACCUGGGUUUGACAUAUAGGUUGUAGGGAACUGAAAAGGGACCGACCCUUCGGGGAGCCUAUACAGGUGUUGCAUGGCUGUCGUCAGCUCGUGUCGUGAGAUGUUCGGUUAAGUCCGCUAACGAGCGCAACCCUCGCCGUGUGUUAUAAGUGUCACGCGGGACCGCCGGUCUUAAGCCGGAGGAAGGUGGGGAUGACGUCAAGUCAGCAUGGCCUUUAUGUCCUGGGCUACACACACGCUACAAUGGCCAGUACAAUUGGUAGCGAAGUCGCGAGGCGGAGCCAAUCCGUAAAAGCUGGCCUCAGUUCAGAUUGCAGUCUGAAACUCGACUGCAUGAAGUCGGAGUUGCUAGUAAACGCAGGUCAGCUAUACUGCGGUGAAUACGUUCCCGGGGCUU